GACGAACGCUGGCGGCGUGCUUAACACAUGCAAGUCGAACGAAGUGGCGAACGGGUGAGUAACGCGUAAUCAACCUGCCCUUCAGAGGGGGACAACAGUUGGAAACUACUGCUAAUACCGCAUACUGAAGGAGGGGAUUGCGUCUGAUUAGCUAGUUGGAGGGGUAACGGCCCACCAAGGCGAUGAUCAGUAGGCGGUCCGGGAGGAUGAACGGCCACAAUGGGACUGGGGAACGGCCCCGAAUCCUACGGGAGGCAGCAAUGGGGAAUCUUCCGCAAAGGACGAAAGGCUGGCGGAGCAACGCCGCGGGGGUGAAGACGGCCUUCGGGUUGUAAAGCUCUGUUAAUCGGGACGCGGUACCGGAAUAGAAAGCCACGGCUAACUACGUGCCAGCCGCCGCGGUAAUAC
rnacentral:rRNA from 1 species